UACGUAGGGUGCAAGCGUUAUCCGGAAUUAUUGGGCGUAAAGAGCUCGUAGGCGGUUUGUCGCGUCUGCUGUGAAAACUGGAGGCUCAACCUCCAGCCUGCAGUGGGUACGGGCAGACUAGAGUGCGGUAGGGGAGAUUGGAAUUCCUGGUGUAGCGGUGGAAUGCGCAGAGUAUCAGGAGGAACCACCGAUCGGCGAGGCAGAGUCUCUGGGACCGUA
rnacentral:rRNA from 1 species